AUUAAAGAUUUAUCGGUGAUGGAUGGGGAUGCGUCUGAUUAGCUUGUUGGCGGGGUAACGGCCCACCAAGGCGACGAUCAGUAGGGGUUCUGAGAGGAAGGUCCCCCACAUUGGAACUGAGACACGGUCCAAACUCCUACGGGAGGCAGCAGUGAGGAAUAUUGGUCAAUGGGCGAGAGCCUGAACCAGCCAAGUAGCGUGCAGGAUGACGGCCCUAUGGGUUGUAAACUGCUUUUAUAAGGGAAUAAAGUGAGUCUCGUGAGACUUUUUGCAUGUACCUUAUGAAUAAGGACCGGCUAAUUCCGUGCCAGCAGCCGCGGUAAUACGGAAGGUCCGGGCGUUAUCCGGAUUUAUUGGGUUUAAAGGGAGCGUAGGCCGGAGAUUAAGCGUGUUGUGAAAUGUAGACGCUCAACGUCUGCACUGCAGCGCGAACUGGUUUCCUUGAGUACGCACAAAGUGGGCGGAAUUCGUGGUGUAGCGGUGAAAUGCUUAGAUAUCACGAAGAACUCCGAUUGCGAAGGCAGCUCACUGGAGCGCAACUGACGCUGAAGCUCGAAAGUGCGGGUAUCGAACAGGAUUAGAUACCCUGGUAGUCCGCACGGUAAACGAUGGAUGCCCGCUGUUGGUCUGAAUAGGUCAGCGGCCAAGCGAAAGCAUUAAGCAUCCCACCUGGGGAGUA
rnacentral:rRNA from 1 species